AACGCACCUUGCGCUCCCUGGUAUUCCUAGGAGCAUGCCUGUUUGAGUGUUAUGAAUCUCUCAACCCCCUUUGCAUUUUUGGUGUAAGGUUUGGGUGUUGGAUUUGGGUGCCUCGCCACAUUAGGUUGUGGCCCACCUGAAAUGCAUUAGUGGAAUCCCUUAAUUGAUGAUUCAACUUCAACGUGAUAAGUAUCUUCGUUGAAGGAAUUAUUGUAAGGAAUUGUUCUGCUGCAAACUUGGAUUUGGAUGGGGGCAACCUCUCUGAACCACUUCUUACACAUUUAGCCUCAAAUCAGGUAGGACUACCCGCUGAACUUAA
rnacentral:misc_RNA from 1 species